rnacentral:rRNA from 1 species
ACCCUUUAAUGUUUGAUGUUCUAACGUGGACCCGUGAUCCGGGUUGCGGACAGUGUCUGGUGGGUAGUUUGACUGGGGCGGUCUCCUCCUAAAGAGUAACGGAGGAGCACGAAGGUUGGCUAAUCCUGGUCGGACAUCAGGAGGUUAGUGCAAUGGCAUAAGCCAGCUUGACUGCGAGCGUGACGGCGCGAGCAGGUGCGAAAGCAGGUCAUAGUGAUCCGGUGGUUCUGAAUGGAAGGGCCAUCGCUCAACGGAUAAAAGGUACUCCGGGGAUAACAGGCUGAUACCGCCCAAGAGUUCAUAUCGACGGCGGUGUUUGGCACCUCGAUGUCGGCUCAUCACAUCCUGGGGCUGAAGUAGGUCCCAAGGGUAUGGCUGUUCGCCAUUUAAAGUGGUACGCGAGCUGGGUUUAGAACGUCGUGAGACAGUUCGGUCCCUAUCUGCCGUGGGCGCUGGAGAACUGAGGGGGGCUGCUCCUAGUACGAGAGGACC